rnacentral:rRNA from 1 species
AUUGAACGCUGGCGGCAGGCUUAACACAUGCAAGCCGAGCGGGGGAAGGUAGCUUGCUACUGGACCUAGCGGCGGACGGGUGAGUAAUGCUUAGGAAUCUGCCUAUUAGUGGGGGACAACAUCUCGAAAGGGAUGCCAAUACCGCAUAAGUCCUACGGGAGAAAGCAGGGGAUCUUCGGAACUUGCGCUAAAAGAUGAGCCUAAGUCGGAUUAGCUAGUUGGUGGGGUAAAGGCCUACCAAGGCGACGAACUGUAGCGGGUCUGAGAGGAUGAUCCGCCACACUGGGACUGAGACACGGCCCAGACUCCUACGGGAGGCAGCAGUGGGGAAUAUUGGACAAUGGGGGGAACCCUGAUCCAGCCAUGCCGCGUGUGUGAAGAAGGCCUUAUGGUUGUAAAGCACUUUAAGCGAGGAGGAGGCUACUCUAGUUAAUACCUAGGGAUAGUGGACGUUACUCGCAGAAUAAGCACCGGCUAACUCUGUGCCAGCAGCCGCCGUAA